GAAAUGUGUCAGAGAGAAGCGAGUCUGGGAGGAGGGAAAGUGCCUUCAGUCCAGGACUAAUUUCAAGGUUUACAACACUUUACACACUCUGCAACUCCUGAUAAUCCAGGGACUACUCCUUUGGCAGCGUUUGCUAUUCGAUGCCUCCAGAUGUACUGAAGCUGCAAAAACGAGCUCUUCAUUACAAAGAUACGUUUGUUUAGGAAGAGACUGGAUUUCACUUGUCAACUUACCCCAUCACCACGAGUCAUUUAAUGUUGGUAACGCCAGCCACGAUUUUUCGUAUCUAUAACACCCCUUCUUCCAUUGAAUUCUACCUACAAAUAACUGAAGGCUCACAUUAUUUUGGAAUAUGGACCUCCGCCUCUUGUGGAGACUUGAGAUUGCUCUUAAGCUGAUUUCCCAAACAGGGGCUGCAAUGUGUGUUCCCGAUUUUAGAUUCAUUGAGCUCACCCUAGAUGAGUCCUUUGGUUCGGUGGUUCGGAAAAGUCUCUUUGUUCCUUCUCCAAACUCAAUGUUCCAGGAUCUCUUGGUGCUCGUGCCAGUGUCUCAUGUAGAAUGUUGCGUGAUCUCUGCUCAAGAAUCUGAGUCACAAGGUUGAUGCCUUCACAGAUGACAGAACAGAAGUUCCCUGAGUACCCGAGUCUGUCUUUGCUGUUUCUAAGGUAGUGAUUAUUAAAAUGUCAAGGGAAAUGAAAAAAAAAAAAAAAAA
rnacentral:lncRNA from 1 species